rnacentral:lncRNA from 1 species
ACCCCAACACUCUUUCUCCCUGAUUUUCACAUGUCCCAAAGGUCUCUCAAUGCUCUAUAAUCUAUGAAAAUUUUAAGAAGAAAUUCAUCUUAAAUAAUAAGAUAUGAAGAAUCUUUGUCUAGGUCAAAUACCUAGUCAAGAAAAAUCCAAAUAGGGCAAUCCAAGUGGUGCCCAACUCUUGGAUGCCCCCUCCUUUUUCUGCCAUGGACUAC